rnacentral:misc_RNA from 1 species
UGAAUGGUGGAGCAAAUGACCAAAACUACCAAAUCCACAUAUCAUAUAGAAAUAAUAUUUGUCAAAUAUAACCAAAUCCCACUAUCGUAUUAGGUUUUGUGUUCUUUAUAUUAUUAGUUGAGAAUCUUUAUUUUUCAUAUAUAAAAGAGAUAAAAGAUAACUCUUUUAUAGUUUCAGUUGCAAGCAGACAAUGGUCCUGCUCUAUCUAAUCUCAGACUAUUUAAUAAUUCAUAUAUAAGACAAUAGAUAUG